GGGGAUGACCGGUUUUGACAGCAAGGAAGUGGUAUUGUAAGCAUGCCGGGCGUUGUAGGAGUGGCCCGUUAAUCCCAACCUGCACAGCCAACAAAUGGCAACGAUUACAAUUACGCGUUAGCCGCUUAAUCAAGGAUUAAGCCGCUUUCUGCUCCCCGGGAAGCCACGCGCGGCCGCGUUCCGGUACGGGCAUCACAAAUGCCGCGAUAAGACAGGUAAGGCCCUGGUGCCUGUUCGAAAACCAAAAGGAAUACGGAACCUGUUGGGCGGUUUUCUCCCUGCAGGCUCCCGACAAUCAACUGAAAACUAAGCUUGUAGAAAGCACUAUUGCUGCUUGUUUGGACGCGGGUUCGACUCCCGCCAUCUCCACGA
rnacentral:tmRNA from 1 species